GGUAGAGAUCUGAAGGCUUAC
rnacentral:miRNA from 1 species